UGUCGCUGCCCUCCUUGGGCGUUUCCUCCCUAGACUUGGGCCGUUCGCUCACGCGGACGGCCCCUUUCUUUUUGGGC
rnacentral:sRNA from 18 species